GAUUCAGGCAGAUUUCUGGCUGCAAGACCAAAGUUGAGUUCCCUGACCUCUUGCUGGUUUGAACUCUAUUGCAGGUCUCAGCUGCUCUUCACCUGAAGAUAGUCCAGGUUCUGAUGGAAAGCGUUGAUCCCUCCAACUUACCAGCUAAGGUGGUCUGGUGUGCCUGUACUGCAGAGAUUUUCCUCACUUUUCCAGUGAUCUCUUCAACUUCACAGUGAUGGAGAGAAGGGAUGGAGAGAAGAGAGAUUAUAAAUAAAGCAGAGUCAAAAAUGAUUGUCCUUGGAUAAUAAUUGACAGAAAAAGCAACAAAACAACUCCUCUAAAAUCCACCAACCAACAAAACAAAACAAAGAAACAACAACAAAAAGAUAGAAAAGAGGCUGCAGUCUACUCUCAAUCAUCAUUAUGAAGUGGAUUUCUCAAAGCUGCUAUUCAGCCUGGUUGGGGAAUGUGGCCUGCAGAUAUCUCCUUGCUGGAUACUUCCCAAUUCAAUUGUGUUUCCAGCUUUGAUUCAUUUUGACUUCAGCAUUUAUUUCUAGGAAGUUGGACCCUAUUGUCAGAAGGAAGCACUCUACAGUGAAUUUCAGAACUUACAAAUUGUUUUCUCCUGGAACAGAAAUACAGUUUUUAUUGUGAGGAACUACAUGACUUUAAAAAAUCUCUGAAUGAAUGUGUGUCUUGUUUUGUUUAAAGGUUGACUCUUGGAAAGGAGCCCUGUGAUAAUAUGUAUGUAAG
rnacentral:lncRNA from 1 species